GCCUGGGGGGCUCAGUUGGUUGAGCAUCUGACUUUGACUCAGGUCAUGAUCUCACAGUUCAUGGGUUCAAGCCCCGCAUCAGGCU
rnacentral:tRNA from 1 species